AUGGCAGACACUGACGACAAAGAACAGUGUGAGCUUGAUCAAGAUCUGGAUGAUGCUGAAGAAGUAGAAGAAGAAGAAACUGACGAAGAAACGAAAAUCAAAGCGUGUCUGCUGACUGUUCAGCUGAUGCAAAAUCCUCAGAUUCUUGCAGCCCUUCAAGAAAGACUUGGUAGUCUGGUAGAAACAGCAGCAGGAUGCGUUGAAAGCUUGCCUCGGGUAGUGAAAAGACAAGUGAAUGCUCUCAAAAACCUUCAAGCUAAAUGCGCACAGAUAGAAGCCAAAUUCUGCGAGGAAGUUCAUGGUCUUGAAAGGAAGUAUGCUGCUCUCUGUCAGCCUCUAUUUGACAAGCGAUUCGAGAUUAUUAAUGCAAUUUACAGACCUACAGAAGAAGAAUAGAGUGGAAAACAGAUGAAGACAAUGAAAUUUUGUAGGAGCUGAAAGAAAAGGCCAGGAUUGAAGAUGAGAAAAAGGAUGAAGAAAAGGAAGAUCCCAAAGGACUUCCUGAAUUUUGGUUGACUGUUCGUAAGAAUGUUGACCUGCUCAGUGAUGUGGUUCAGGAACACGAUGCCUUUUCUGAAACACUCGAAAGAUAUUAACGUGAAGUUCUCAGUCGCUGGCCAGCCUCUGAGUUUUGUCUUAGAAUUUCACUUUGAACCCAAUGAAUAUUUCACAAAUGAAGUGUUGACAAAGACAUAUAGGAUGAGGGCAGAACCAAAUGAUUCUGAUCCCUUUUCUUUUGAUGGACCAGAAAUUAUGGGUUGUACAGGGUGCCAGAGAGAUCGGAAAAAAGGAAAGAAUGUCACUUUGAAAACAAUUAAGAAGCAGCAGAAACAUAAGGGAUGUGGGACAGUUUGCACUGUGACUAAAACAGUUUCCAAUGACUCUUUCUUUAGUUUUUUUGCACCUCCUGAAGUUCCUGAGAGUGGAGAUCUGGCUGCUGCUGCUGAAGCUAUCCUUGCUGCAGACUUUGAAAUUGGUCACUUUUUACAUGAUCGUAUAAUCCCAAGAUCAGUGUUAUACUUUACUGGAGAAGCUAUUGAAGAUGAUGACAAUGAUUAUGAUGAAAAAGGUGAAGAAGUGAAUGAGGAAGGGGAAGAAGAAGGAGAUAAGGAAAAUGGUCCAGACUAUGACCCGAAGAAGAAUCAAAACCCAGCGGAGUGUAAGCAGCAGUGAAGC